UACGGAGGGUGCAAGCGUUGUCCGGAUUUAUUGGGUUUAAAGGGUGCGUAGGCGGCCCUGUAAGUCAGUGGUGAAAUACUGCAGCUUAACUGUAGCAUUGCCAUUGAUACUGUAGGGCUUGAGUACAGAUGAGGUAGGCGGAAUUGAUGGUGUAGCGGUGAAAUGCAUAGAUACCAUCAAGAACACCGAUUGCGAAGGCAGCUUACUAAGCUGUAACAUG
rnacentral:rRNA from 1 species